rnacentral:lncRNA from 1 species
CCAAGAAUCAGAAGCUUAACUGACUGAGCCACCCAGGGGCUCUGUAGUUUGUACUUUCUAAUAGCAGAAACUAUGGCUAAGAGAGCAGAAUACCAGAGGUAUCAUGACUCUGACAUCUUGGGAAGGAGACAGCAGUGGUGGAUUCAGCCAUAAGGCAGGCAAGAAGGCAUCAUGAUGGCUCAGCCUCCAUCACAGAGGUGGGAUUACCAAAUGUUUGCUUCUUAGUAAUGACAGUCCUGAUAAGAAAAUUGGCAAUCUUCAGCUUAUUCAAAAAUCCCAAGUUUUUAUUAAGCCCAGUCAACAAAUCUGCAGUUUGAAUUCUAUUUUUGCAUCUCCCUGACAAAUCCCUAAUUAAAAAUACAAUAAUUUUCAGUAUCACACUAAGGCAGUGGAUUACAGUUUAUGCUUUCUUAUUUCUAAAUGUUAAUAUGAAAUUCCAGCAUCUAGAGAGUCCUCCCCACCUUUUAUAAAUGUUGAUAAAGAAUUUCAGAAAAAC